GCUUAUUCUAAGGAGACAGAGUGGGAUUGGAAGGGGUGUAGACAGACCUGGAUUAGGAUCCUGAUGUUACCAUCAUGGAGCUGUGUACACCUGGGCAAUUUAUUCGACUUGAACCCAGGCUCAGCAUCUGUAAAAUAGGCUGAUGGUCCUUCCCCCUCAGAACUUUGGAUGAUAAAGUCAACAAUGCUCAUUGAAUGGAUGAAACCAAGGCUGGCACAGGGCCGAUGCAGGCAAAACGCUUGUUCCUGGCACCCAGAGCUGCAUGUGGGCAGGGAGAAGAGCAGAAAUGGUACUUCCUCGGAGGCACGGGCUGCUCCUGUUUGGGGAGCCAUCAUUCACAUUUUGAUCUUGAGGAUGUCUUAGGGUCCUAUUCUUCGUUCCCUCCUCCCAGCCACUGCGUUUAGGGCACAAUGCAAUGAUACAACUUUUUCCUUCUUGAAAAAGGAGUCAUUGCCCUGACCUCUCGUGUCGUCUGUGGGGCUCCAGGGCAUCCUCGAAGUCCCUAAAUAGGUUGAAAUAAACAACUCUCCAGCAGGUGAGGAAAUAUUCUGCCAUUCACAGGAUGCGAUUUUGCAUUAAAUGGCUGCUGAAGAAUCCUAUGUAUUGAAG
rnacentral:lncRNA from 1 species